UCAUUGAAUUUCUUUAAAUUCAUGAUGUCGUAAGGGAAAAUAAUGAUAAUACCUUACUAUGAGUGUCGUCCAAAUCUGGUGCCAGAAGACUCGGUAAGACCAGAGACGCAAACGUUAAUCAUCAUAAACAGGCGUAAAGGGUUUGUAGGCAGCUUUUAUAAAAUUGUCAAAGGUAAUUUAAUUGAAAGCUAGAAUCAAAAAGAGGUUAUAGUGUAUAACGCCUAGAGGAGGGCUGAUAUCCGUAGAUCCUAGGCAGAAUACUCAGGGCGAAGGCCACUCUCCACUAAUGAUUGACGCUGAGAAACGAAGGUUAGGGUAGGAAAUAGGAUUAGAUACCCCGGUACUCCUUUCUGUAAACGAUGAAUGGUAGUCAUUAGUUUAAUUAAAAUAACUAGAGGCGAAGUUAACACAAUAACCAUUCCGCCUUGUGAGUACUACUGCAAAGUAGAAAACAAAAAAAUUAGUCGGUCUCGAAGCAAACGGAGUGAAGCAUGUUAUUUA
rnacentral:rRNA from 1 species